CAAAUCACAAACACCUGACACUAUGACCCACUGAGAAACCAGGAAGUAGUUCCUAAACGUCCCUCCACACAAUCAUUUGUUUUUUGACCACUUUUUACCUGCUUAACUGGGAAAUCGCUCAGUUUACUUUACUUUGAGGAGGACUGGGAGGGAAACAGUCACAUCAUUAUCUUAAGGAUCAUUUUGGAGCCAAUUUUUUGAUUCUUCUGUGAUCCACCUGUUGGACGAAUGGAACAAAGAAUCAAAGAGAUGUUCACAGACAGGGCUGAAGAUUGUCUAGUGGGGACGGACCAAGUAGAAGAACCCCAGCAUGACUUUGAGAUGGGACAAAGACAGUCUAAAACACACAAGGAACUUGCCACGCCCGUCUGUUCCAAUCUUGUCUCGGCAUGGACGCUGUUACUGUGACUUCCAGGUCUUUCGUAGCAGGCGUAGCAGCCUUUUUUGCUGCUUUCUCGGAUGAGAAAGGCUCCGUCCGGCUUCCCGAGGAGCAGCUCCUCCGCCUGCGUCCUGUUCAGGUCCCCGACGAACCAGCUCUUCUCAUCGUAGUGAG